GAUUGAUAAAUAGUGUCAGUUACCUCGCGCUCCAGAAUUGACACAUUGUCGAUUGUCACUGAGCUGAAAGGUGAAUGCAUGAUUCCUGUAGAGAUGGCACAGCAGAUGUCCAGUGAGGAUACAAAUCGAAAAGCACAAGAAAGAAUGUGUCAUGUAUUUCUCCUAAUCAUCGGCCUUGGAUGUGUCCUUCAAGCCACGCUCAAUGUUUCUCUACGCCUCGCCUUGCCCUCACAAUUUUGUUUGGAGUGCAAUCUAACGUGCCCAACCAGUCCACGGCCCGUGACGCCGAUUUACGCGGAUUGUGGCAGAAACACAAGAUUUCGGUGCAGCAGAUUACAAGAAAGUCUCAAUGCUUUAACAAGAGAAAGAGACGAGCUUCGAAACAGCCUCUCUCAAUUGAGAAACUUGCUCGUAUGUAAAUAGUGCAAUACCUCACUUUUCCGGUGAGGUGGUUUUAGUCUUUUUUCCAUCUCCUUCCAAUCGCUGUCUUUCUGAUAACACCAUCCUCAGGCUACUAAACAUGCUUUUUUGGGUUGGAAAAUGUUAUUUACGUGCUUGUUUUAUUUAUUUUUUUGUCAUUGUUGGUUUUUGUGGUUGGUAUUAAGUUUUUGGACCUUAACACUCAUGUACUCAAAAUGAAUUCUCUUCAAUUUCUCAUUUUUGUUGUCUGUCUAUUAAAAUUGUGUUCUUGCA